rnacentral:rRNA from 1 species
GACGAACGCUGGCGGCGUGCUUAACACAUGCAAGUCGAGCGGUAAGGCCCUUUCGGGGGUACACGAGCGGCGAACGGGUGAGUAACACGUGGGCGACCUGCCCUCAGCUCUGGGAUAAGCCUGGGAAACCGGGUCUAAUACUGGAUAUGACUCCAUGACGCAUGUUGUGGGGUGGAAAGCCUUGUGCGGCUGAGGAUGGGCCCGCGGCCUAUCAGCUUGUUGGUGGGGUGANGGCCUACCAAGGCGACGACGGGUAGCCGGCCUGAGAGGGCGACCGGCCACACUGGGACUGAGACACGGCCCAGACUCCUACGGGAGGCAGCAGUGGGGAAUCUUGCGCAAUGGGCGAAAGCCUGACGCAGCGACGCCGCGUGAGGGAUGACGGCCUCGG